UUCAUCUGUGACUGAGAGCUGUGAGCUCCCUGAGCCUGGCCUUGAUGAGUGAGGUUGAAGUGUGUUGAUGUGAUGAGCUUGGUGUUUUAAGAGCUUUUCUCAUUGAAGGAGCAGUGUGGCCCUGUAUAAUGCUAGCUGCUGUUUCUUUAC